rnacentral:rRNA from 1 species
AUGCGAGCCCUCUUCUGGAACAUCCGCGGCUUCGGCCAUGAUGGCCGCCGCCGCCAGUUAGUGGAGUACAUGCGAGAUGAGCACAUAGACAUCAUGGCCGUGCAGGAGACCAUGCGUCGCGAAUUUGCGCUUCCUGAGCUUGACCGGCUGAGCUCUCACCUCUUUGCGUGGCACUGGCUCCCUUCUAGUGGGAGCGCGGGUCACUCGGGCGGCAUCCUCUUAGGUGUGAAGGAUGCCACCUUCGAGGUGGGCAGCAUGGAUCGGGGCGAAUUCUUCGUGAGCAUGGAGGUCUUCGAGAGAUCGCUUAACUUCAAGUGGGAGAUCAUCAUAGUCUAUGGCCCGGCCGACCAUAGUCGAUCGGCUUCCUUCCUGGAGGAGCUUCACCGGAAAAUCUCGGCCGCCUCCCUCCCCGUUGUUGUCGGGGGGGACUUCAAUCUGCUG